GACAGAGGUGCCGAGCGUUAGGCGGAAUCACUGGGCUUAAAGCGUGUGUAGGCGGGCCGUUAAGUAUCAUGUGAAAUCCCCCGGCUCAACCGGGGAAUGGCUGGAUAUACUGGCGGUCUUGAGCGAUCUAGGGGCAGAUGGAACAAGUGGUGGAGCGGUGAAAUGCGUAGAUAUCACUUGGAACGCCAAAGGUGAAAACAGUCUGCUGGGGAUCUGCUGACGCUGAGACACGAAAGCCAGGGGAGCGAACGGG
rnacentral:rRNA from 1 species